rnacentral:rRNA from 1 species
AUUGAACGCUGGCGGCAUGCCUUACACAUGCAAGUCGAACGGCAGCACGGACUUCGGUCUGGUGGCGAGUGGCGAACGGGUGAGUAAUAUAUCGGAACAUACCUUGUAGUGGGGGAUAACUAUCCGAAAGGAUAGCUAAUACCGCAUACGAUCUAAGAAUGAAAGCGGGGGAUCUUCGGACCUCGUGCUAUAAGAGUGGCCGAUAUCUGAUUAGCUAGUUGGUGAGGUAAAGGCUCACCAAGGCGACGAUCAGUAGCUGGUCUGAGAGGACGACCAGCCACACCGGAACUGAGACACGGUCCAGACUCCUACGGGAGGCAGCAGUGGGGAAUUUUGGACAAUGGGGGCAACCCUGAUCCAGCAAUGCCGCGUGAGUGAAGAAGGCCUUCGGGUUGUAAAGCUCUUUUGUCAGGGAAGAAACGGUUGUGGCUAAUAUCCAUGGCUAAUGACGGUACCUGAAGAAUAAGCACCGGCUAACUACGUGCCAGCCGCCGCAGUAACAC